UACGGAGGGUGCGAGCGUUGUCCGGAAUCACUGGGCGUAAAGGGCGCGUAGGCGGCCUGAUAAGUAGGGGGUGAAAUCCUGCGGCUUAACCGCAGGGCUGCCUUCUAAACUGUCGGGCUAGAGCACGGUAGAGGCAGAUGGAAUUCCCGGUGUAGCGGUGGAAUGCGUAGAGAUCGGGAAGAACAUCAGUGGCGAAGUCGGUCUGCUGGGCCGUUGCUGACGCUGAGGCGCGACAGCGUGGGGAGCAAACAGG
rnacentral:rRNA from 1 species